rnacentral:rRNA from 1 species
AUGGCGGAGGAACCGUCCGCAAAGCGUCAUCAUGCCGAGACGUCGGACAAGAGGAGCAACCUCGUCGACAUUAACAUCCCCGGCGAGAAGCGCGACUACACCAGAACGCUCAAAGGGCUUGAGCUCCACGGCAAGGAGACGCUGGAGAUCAUCUGCACCAGCGAACCAGACAAGGCCGACGAGGUGAUCUCCAGGCUCUGGAGGAAGCUUGGCGGCAGGAUUCGUAGGAUCAUCGGCGUUGGUGUGCACUACACCAACGAAGAUGAACCUCCCCAGAUGGCGGCAGUCCUGCAGUUGUGCGUCGACGAACUCUGCUUGGUGUACCACAUCACAGCGGCCACAAAAUGGUGA